UACGGAGGGUGCGAGCGUUGUCCGGAAUCACUGGGCGUAAAGGGCUCGUAGGCGGUCUGUUGCGUCAGGAGUGAAAACUCGGGGCUUAACCCCGAGCCUGCUUCUGAUACGGGCAGACUAGAGGUAUGCAGGGGAGAACGGAAUUCCUGGUGUAGCGGUGAAAUGCGCAGAUAUCAGGAGGAGCACCGGUGGCGAAGGCGGGUCUCUGGGCCGAUACUGACGCUGAGGAGCGAAAGCGUGGGGAGCGAACAGG
rnacentral:rRNA from 1 species